rnacentral:rRNA from 1 species
UGCCAGCCGCCGCGGUAAUACGUAGGGAGCGAGCGUUAUCCGGAAUUAUUGGGCGUAAAGCGUGCGUAGGCGGUUUACUAAGCCAAAUCUGAAGCCCUCGGCUUAACCGAGGAGGGUGAUUUGAAACUGGUAGACUUGAGUACGGCAGAGGUUAGUGGAAUUCAAUGUGUAGCGGUGGAAUGCGUAGAUAUAUUGAGGAACACCAGUGGCGAAGGCGGCUAACUGGACCGGAACUGACGCUGAUGCACGAAAGCGUGGGUAGCAAACAGGAUUAGAUA